UACAGAGGUCUCAAGCGUUGUUCGGAUUCAUUGGGCGUAAAGGGUGCGUAGGUGGCGCGGUAAGUCGGGUGUGAAAUCUCGGAGCUUAACUCCGAAAUUGCAUUCGAUACUGCCGUGCUCGAGGACUGGAGAGGAGACUGGAAUUCAUGGUGUAGCAGUGAAAUGCGUAGAGAUCAUGAGGAAGACCAGUGGCGAAGGCGGAUCUCUGGACAGUUCCUGACGCUGAGGCACGAAGGCCAGGGGAGCAAACGGG
rnacentral:rRNA from 1 species